CCCGCUCAGAAACUUAAAGGAAUUGACGGGGCCCGCACAAGCGGAGGAGCAUGUGGUUUAAUUCGAUGAUACGCGAGGAACCUUACCUGGGCUCGAACGUAAGAUGACUGUAGGUGAAAGCUUACAUCUCUUCGGAGCAUUUUACGAGGUGCUGCAUGGUUGUCGUCAGCUCGUGCCGUGAGGUGUCGGGUUAAGUCCCAUAACGAGCGCAACCCCUACCUUUAGUUGCCAUCAGGUAAUGCUGGGGACUCUAAAGGAACUGCCUACGCAAGUAGUGAGGAAGGCGGGGAUGACGUCAAAUCAGCACGGCCCUUACGUCCAGGGCUACACACGUGCUACAAUGGCCGAUACAGAGGGCAGCUACCUGGUGACAGGAUGCAAAUCUCCAAAGUCGGUCUCAGUUCGGAUCGGAGUCUGCAACCCGACUCCGUGAAGUUGGAUUCGCUAGUAAUCGCGCAUCAGCCAUGGCGCGGUGAAUACGUUCCCGGGCCUU
rnacentral:rRNA from 1 species